rnacentral:rRNA from 1 species
UACAGAGGGUGCUAGCGUUGUUCGGAAUCAUUGGGCGUAAAGGGCGUGUAGGCGGUUUGUUAAGUCAUGUGUGAAAUCCCUCGGCUCAACCGGGGAAGGACGCAUGAAACUGGCAAGCUAGAGUACCAAAGAGGGGGGUGGAAUCCCCGGUGUAGCGGUGAAAUGCGUAGAUAUCGGGAGGAACACCUGUGGCGAAGGCGGCCCCCUGGGUCAAGACUGACGCUCAUGCACGAAAGCGUGGGGAGCAAACAGG